rnacentral:rRNA from 1 species
GACGAACGCUGGCGGCGUGCCUAAUACAUGCAAGUCGAGCGAGCUUGCCUAGAUGAAUUUGGUGCUUGCACCAGAUGAAACUAGAUACAAGCGAGCGGCGGACGGGUGAGUAACACGUGGGUAACCUGCCCAAGAGACUGGGAUAACACCUGGAAACAGAUGCUAAUACCGGAUAACAACACUAGACGCAUGUCUAGAGUUUAAAAGAUGGUUCUGCUAUCACUCUUGGAUGGACCUGCGGUGCAUUAGCUAGUUGGUAAGGUAACGGCUUACCAAGGCAAUGAUGCAUAGCCGAGUUGAGAGACUGAUCGGCCACAUUGGGACUGAGACACGGCCCAAACUCCUACGGGAGGCAGCAGUAGGGAAUCUUCCACAAUGGACGCAAGUCUGAUGGAGCAACGCCGCGUGAGUGAAGAAGGGUUUCGGCUCGUAAAGCUCUGUUGGUAGUGAAGAAAGAUAGAGGUAGUAACUGGCCUUUAUUUGACGUAAUACUAGAAAUCAC